rnacentral:rRNA from 1 species
AUUGAACGCUGGCGGCAGGCCUAACACAUGCAAGUCGAACGAGUGGCGGACGGGUGAGUAAUGUCUGGGAAACUGCCUGAUGGAGGGGGAUAACUACUGGAAACGGUAGCUAAUACCGCAUACCAUCGGAUGUGCCCAGAUUGGAUUAGCUAGUAGGUGGGGUAACGGCUCACCUAGGCGACGAUCCCUAGCUGGUCUGAGAGGAUGACCAGCCACACGGGAACUUGGACACGGUCCAGACGCCUACGGGAGGCAGCAGUGGGGAAGAGGGCACAAUGGGCGCAAGCCUGAUGCAGCCAUGCCGCGUGUAUGAAGAAGGCCUUCGGGUUGUAAAGUACUUUCAGCGGGGAGGCGUGACCCGCAGAAGAAGCACCGGCUAACUCCGUGCCAGCAGCCUCGGUAAUUC